CUCAGAGGCACACUUCCUAACCUGGCUGAAGGUCCUGGCUGGGAAAUUCUUCCCUGCCUCAUUUGUAGGAGCGACGUGGGUGAGGAGUGAUGGAGGAGAAGGGGCAGCAAUGUGCUGUGUGGUGUCUGUGAUGUCUUAUAGGCUGUACAGCAAGGUGAUGCUCAGCUUCUCUUCUGUGGGAUUGUUUGAAUUCCUGCUGCUGUUGUGGUUGGCUGUUUCUCCCUGUAGUAAGGAUAUGCCUUCCUGCCAGACUCCGCAGUGCCCUCCUGGCAUGAAAAGGGGCAACCAUAGCUUGCCUGGCGGAGGGCAGCUCCACACUGCAGCUCCAUCCUGCAAAUCAGCAAAGGCAACUGAGCGUGUGAUGCUGCGUACAGUGGAGGAGCUUGGCUGGAGGAGGCAGAGGUUAAGAAUGCAGCCCAGAGAACAGCAGGGGGAACGCUAAAAUGUUUGUCCUGUGCUUUGUAAAUACAGCAGAUAUGCCUGCAUUUCAAACCCAGUCUAGCAACACUCAUGUACAUACGGUUUCACGGACAGCUUUCUUUCUGCAUCACCUGCAGGAUCAGUAACGUUGAUGCUGAGUGGCAAACAGUGGGAGCCGUUCCAGUAUGAAUAUUCUGACAAGGGAAUGAGUCUGUUUGCUUGGCUGCAAAGGCCUUGGAAUCCAGCAAGGAGUACACAGUGACCCCAUCUCUGCACCAAACAGUGGUUUUCUGACCAAAUUUGCCCAAACUUUGCAAUGUCUGCAAAAAAUUAAAAAAAAAAAAAAAAAAAGGCGCCCCAAAAGCAUGAGGUGAUUUAAGUCUCGAGAAUCCUAAUUAAGAAAUAGCAAUUAAAGACUUGCCUGAACCUACAACUGGCCUUACUGGCUCCUCAGUAUGGAUGUCCUGUAGUGGUUAGGAGCAGCAUCCCUGCUGGUUGGGGUGCCCACCCAUCAGGCCUUGAGAGGGAAUUGAAACACUCAUUUUUUGACACCCCAUGUUCUGAAGGUUCUCCCCUCGUUGCUUUUCCCAGAAUGCUCAAAACAAAAGUGCGUUUCCUGUUUAGAAAGAGAGAGAAGAUAAGCCCUAAAGUGCAGCCUCCUGCUCUGGCUACCCCAAGUAUAAACAGCCUGCGCGGCCAGGCACUGCUUUUGUUUGUUCUAGCAGCUUUCUCUCCUUAAAGGUACAUUAGGCACAAUUAUACAAAGUCCGUUUUCUGGCAGCAUCACUCCUGACUGGCACGAGAGCUCCAGGACCAUCAGCUCAUCAGGAAAUCUCCUGUCUGCCCGGAGCACGCAGUGAAUUCCCACCUUUGCACUCAAGGCACAGCAUUAAGUGCUUCCAAAGUAUGUUACUCGUUUGCAUUUCUGUAAUAUUUCUCCACUGUAGCAUCAGAGUGCUCUGUAAAUAGUCACUGCUAACCUCCCUGGGUGGGGUGCUGGGGAUGGGUUUGUUUUUUUGGCUUACGGAGAGCAAAAGGUUUGCGUUGUGAGUCAGCACUGAAGCUCAGUAAUUCAACACGAGAUGGGUUUAAGGCUACCUUUGACCAAUCCGGGGCUGUUGUGGCUUCCAGGGUAAUGCAGAGCAUCCGUGGAAUCCCUCUGUGCAGCAGGGUGAAGAUCUGAGGAAGAGACCUACAGCCAAAUGGCCUGAGCUGUCACAGCACGGUACCUAUGAUUCCCAUGACGGCUCCAUCCUGCAACGUUCUGAACCUCCUCACUGUGCUUCAGCAAUGCGAUCAGGUCCAGAUACGAGCUCAGGACUGGACCUACUGCAACAAGCAGUGUGAACAAUGCUGGGCUCUUACUGCCAUGCUCAGGAAACAGGAGUGUCAUUUCUCCUUGUCUGCUGUGAGCGAGUCCUCAUCGGUUCAAGUGACAACACGUGCAGGUGCCUCUCUGCUUUUUCCACACCGGAGGCGUCUGCUGUGACCGAGUUCGACUUAAGAGCAACUGAGCGGAAGGUUUGGAGAGGGAGAGCUGAGCGUGCACCUCCUGAACCCCCCGAGGACCUGCGGGGACCUGUGAGCACCUAUGAGCGCAGGUCAGUGGAUGUUUAAAGCAAAGGAAGCCAGCACGUGGCAGGAGGAGGCGUUCAUUGCAGCUCACGGAGGGCUCUGCGUGGUUUUGCUGCUGUGCUGCGCUGCGUUGUGUCGUUCGGGUGUGUGGGGAGCGCACGGGGCUGCGUUGGGUGUAGUGUCAGCGGGUCACAGUGUGACUGCUCCGUGGAGUUCCCACCUUGGGCACGGCUGAGAGCUUUGGUGGUGCAGAUGCGUUCAUUGUGGCACUUAUCGGUCGUCCCGUGGGUGACAGCUUAAGGAGGAAGAGGAGAGCAAUAGGAUCGGGUAGGGCUUUCACUGCGGUGGCAGGCAGGCUUGGCAAGGUGCCGAGCUUUCAUGCUUGCGUUUAGAAUAACAACAAGACUGAUUCGGAGGGGGAACAUCUCAGCAACGAUUUUCCUGGUCCUCAUUCGGACCUCUCUGUGGACAGCACAGAGAAAGCAGCCAAGCUUGAGACAGAUCCGGGUCUGUUGCUGGUGUAGUCCUGCAUAUGGGCUCGGGAGAGAAGAGUGUGUGUGUGUGUGUAAUGUGAGAAUAAUCAGGGAUUUAUAGCAAUGGAACAUGAGUAAGAACUUCAAAAGCACCCAAAUGAUUUGGGCACCGAAAUCAUGCGGGCGCUCCUGAAAAACGUGUACCAGCCUUUAAACCAUUCCUAUUAUUCGCCCUGCCUGCAAUUUGCUUCUCGUUUUUGGUGAGCUGGACCUGCCCGACCCACAGCUCACGGUGCUGUCCCUCAGUGGGAGCGGUGCAGAGCUGAGAGCAGCAAUCCCUGCAGUGCCUUCAGCUCUGGAAGUUAUUUCUGCACAACGCUGUGGGAGCCAAGAGGGCUCAGCUUAUGGGAUUUGGAGGAAAAAAAAAAAAAAGGAUUAGAAACUUGAUAUGGAUAGCAAGAAUCUCUAGAAUUAAUAGGAAAUUAAAUGAGGGCUUUACAAGGAAUAUAAAUCCCUGUAUUUCGGGGCAUAAGCCAAUCUUAGGAUUUAGGAAGAAGCUUCUCCUUGUAAGGGGUUUUGCCCUGUGCUGUCUGCUGGUGGGUAUGUUGCCCUGCAGCUCGCUAUGUACAGAGCUGGUGUGGGGUCUUCUGUGGGAACAUCUCCUCUUCUGGAAGAGCUUCUGGUUGAGCAGCACUGAGCUCAAACCUCGUGGCUGUGCGUUGCAGCAGCCUGGAGAUACCUGAGCACAAAGCAGCAAUCCCACGGGCUGCUCUCUGAGCUUAUCAUCACUGUUACACAACAGAGCCAUAGCAGGUGCUGAGCGUAUUCCAGACAGCAUCUCUUUUGGAAGCUCAGAGCCUAUUGUUGCCAGCAGUGAGAGAUGCUGUGACUGCAGUGUGAGAAGCCAGAAUCCCUAGACUGGUGGCUGAGUUGGAAAGUGAAACCCUUUGGUCUGCUUACUCACUGCUGGAACCCCUAGGAGUGAUGGGUGUGUGUGGCACACCUCCUGCUAAGCGUUCCCCCAGGGGCACUGCGUG
ensembl:lncRNA